AAGUCCAAAGGGGACGGUAAUGGCCCAUCAGCUGCGAGGGGCUCGGUGCGCCCGGCGGUGCUCUCCGAGCAGGGGGAGCUCCCAUCGCGGGGCGGCAGGGCGAGGAGGAAGCAUAGGUUGACGAAGACAUCAAAGCAGAGCUGAGAAAGAACUAGAACAAACCUUUUCCCCAAGACUUUGGAGCUGCCAAUAAUCCAUUCUUAUCCCAGAUUUGAUGUUUUCAUAAAACUGCUGGAUCUUGAAGAUGCCAUUAGGUGGAUGCCUUGCUAAGGCAAAAUUAAGCAAAAAGCUAAAACUGAUGAAAGGCACAUUGCUGUCUGUCAUAAGGGGCGUACGUUGAAAUAUGGCAGUGAAAAAAGCCAGCUCUGCUCAAACCACUGCAGAAUCCCAGCGGAACGAGGCACGUGAAGAAUAUUUUAUAUUUAGUCAGAGGAGGGGAGAGGCAGGAGCCGGACGAUGGUGGGUUUUUGUGAUGAAGAACAUUUCCAGGGAAAUCUCCCUGCCAUGGGAAUAGCUCCACGCUUUAUUUUUAUAAAAAAUAAAGUUUCACAGCUCCAGGUUACUUUGGAGAGCUGCAGCCAUCCCA